rnacentral:rRNA from 1 species
UACGGAGGAUCCAAGCGUUAUCCGGAAUUACUGGGCGUAAAGAGUUGCGUAGGCGGCACUGUGUGUCGGUAGUGAAAGCGUACGGCUCAACCGUAUUCACAUUAUCGAAACUGCAGAGCUAGAGGACGAGAUAGGUUACUGGAAUUCCUUGUGUAGGAGUGAAAUCCGUAGAUAUAAGGAAGAACACCAAUGUCGUAGGCAGGUAACUGGCUCGUUCCUGACGCUCAGGCACGAAAGCGUGGGGAGCAAACGGG